UUAAAGUAGUAAGGGCGCAGGGUGGAUGCCUUGGCACUAAGAGCCGAUGAAAGACGUGAUAAGCUGCGAAAAGCUUCGGGGAGGAGCACAUAUCCAAUGAUCCGGAGAUAUCUGAAUGGGGAAACCCGGCAGAGGAAACCUCUGUCAGCGUGCAGUGAAUACAUAGCUGUACGUGGGGAACCCGGGGAACUGAAACAUCUAAGUACCCGGAGGAAGAGAAAGAAAAUUUAUCGAUUUCCAAAGUAGCGGCGAGCGAAAUGGAAAGAGCCCAAACCGUGAUGCGUGCAUCGCGGGGUUCGGACUGCGUUGUGGCAGACGUAAGAUAGGAGAACGGACUGGGAAGUCCGGCCGGAGAGAGUGAAAGCCUCGUAUCCGAAAUCCCAAGUCGCCUAGCAGGAUCCAGAGUAGGACGAGACACGAGAAACCUUGUCUGAACGAGCGGGGACCACCCCGUAAGGCUAAAUACUUCUUAGUGACCGAUAGCGCAUAGUACUGUGAAGGAAAGGUGAAAAGUACCCCGGGAGGGGAGUGAAAGAGAACCUGAAACCCUGUGUCUACAAGCUGUGGGACCUCUUUAUAUGAGGGACUGCGUACUUUUUGUAGAACGGUCCGGCGAGUUGUGCGUACUGGCGAGGUUAAGGACUUAAGGUCUGGAGCCGAAGUGAAAGCAAGCGUUAAUAGCGCGUCAAGUCAGUGAGUGCAGACCCGAAACCGGGUGACCUAUCCAUGUCCAGGUUGAAGCUUCCGUAAGAGGAAGUGGAGGACCGAACCCACAUCCGUUGAAAAGGGUGGGGAUGAGGUGUGGAUAGCGGAGAAAUUCCAAUCGAACCCGGAGAUAGCUGGUUCUCCUCGAAAUAGCUUUAGGGCUAGCCUCAUGAGAGUCUUAUGGAGGUAGAGCACUGAAUUGCCUAGGGGGCGUCAAAGCUUACCAAAGCAUAUCAAACUCCGAAUGCCAUCAAGAUGAUUCAUGGGAGUCAGACCAUACGAGAUAAGUUGGAUGGUCAAAAGGGAAAGAGCCCAGACCUACAGCUAAGGUCCCAAAGUACGUGUUAAGUGGAAAAGGAUGUGGGGAUUCUAAGACAACUAGGACGUUGGCUUAGAAGCAGCCAUUCAUUGAAAGAGUGCGUAAUAGCUCACUAGUCGAGAGUCCCUGCGCCGAAAAUGUCCGGGGCUGAAACACGACACCGAAGCUUAGGAAUGUGUAAACAUUGGUAGAGGAGCAUUGCUAGCGGGAUGAAGCCAUACCGAAAGGAGUGGUGGACUGCUAGGAAGAGAGAAUGCCGGAAUGAGUAGCGAGAUGAAGGUGAGAAUCCUUCAGGCCGAAUAUCUAAGGUUUCCAGAGUAAAGCUGAUCUGCUCUGGGUAAGUCGGGACCUAAGGCGAGGUCGAAAGACGUAGUCGAUGGAUAACAGGUUGAAAUUCCUGUACCGCAUAUAAACAGAACUGUGGGGACACAGACAGGGAAUGGAAUCCGGGAAUGGAUAUCCCGGUGCAAGCGAGGUAGGAGUGCUGUUGGCAAAUCCGCAGCACGAUCUGAAGACGUGACGCGUACCGAACAUAAGUAGGGAAGUCCAGGCCCCUGGCUGUCAAGAAAAGCCGCUAUUGUUUUAUAUGUGCCCGUACCGCAAACCGACACAGGUGGAUGAGGAGAGAAUCCUAAGGCCGACGGGAGAAGUAUUGUUAAGGAACUCGGCAAAAUGACUCCGUAACUUCGGGAGAAGGAGUGCCAUGAGAGUGGCCGCAGAGAAAUGGCCCAAGCAACUGUUUAGCAAAAACACAGGUCUAUGCAAAACCGCAAGGUGAAGUAUAUGGGCUGACGCCUGCCCGGUGCUGGAAGGUUAAGGGGAGAGGUUAGCGCAAGCGAAGCUUUGAACUUAAGCCCCAGUAAACGGCGGCCGUAACUAUAACGGUCCUAAGGUAGCGAAAUUCCUUGUCGGGUAAGUUCCGACCC
rnacentral:rRNA from 1 species